GCCUAGUGAGCUUAGUUGGUAGUGCGUCUGCCUUGUAAGCGCUAGGCCGCGGGUUCGAUUCCCACCCGGGGCG
rfam:Asian citrus Psyllid, Diaphorina citri - Florida Strain, whole genome shotgun sequence.